rnacentral:rRNA from 1 species
CCUACGGGAGGCAGCAGUGAGGAAUAUUGGUCAAUGGGCGCUAGCCUGAACCAGCCAAGUAGCGUGAAGGAUGACUGCCCUAUGGGUUGUAAACUUCUUUUAUAUGGGAAUAAAGUGCAGUAUGUAUACUGCUUUGCAUGUACCUUAUGAAUAAGGAUCGGCUAACUCCGUGCCAGCAGCCGCGGUAAUACGGAGGAUCCGAGCGUUAUCCGGAUUUAUUGGGUUUAAAGGGAGCGUAGGCGGGUUGUUAAGUCAGUUGUGAAAGUUUGCGGCUCAACCGUAAAAUUGCAGUUGAUACUGGCAGCCUUGAGUACAGUAGAGGUAGGCGGAAUUCGUGGUGUAGCGGUGAAAUGCUUAGAUAUCACGAAGAACUCCGAUUGCGAAGGCAGCCUGCUAGACUGUAACUGACGCUGAUGCUCGAAAGUGUGGGUAUCAAACAGGAUUAGAUACCCUAGUAGUC